UACGUAGGGGGCAAGCGUUGUCCGGAAUCAUUGGGCGUAAAGAGCGUGUAGGCGGCCCGGUAAGUCCGCUGUGAAAGUCCAGGGCUCAACCCUGGGAUGCCGGUGGAUACUGUCGGGCUCGAGUCCGGAAGAGGCGAGUGGAAUUCCUGGUGUAGCGGUGAAAUGCGCAGAUAUCAAGGAGGAACACCAAUGGCGAAGGCAGCUCGCUGGGACGUGAACUGACGCUGAGACGCGAAAGCGUGGGGAGCAAACAGG
rnacentral:rRNA from 1 species